AUUGAACGCUGGCGGCAGGCCUAACACAUGCAAGUCGAACGAGUGGCGGACGGGUGAGUAAUGUCUGGGAAACUGCCUGAUGAGGGGGAUAACUACUGGAAACGGUAGCUAAUACCGCAUACCAUCGGAUGUGCCCAGAUGGGAAGAGCUAGUAGGUGGGGUAAAGGCGCGCCUAGGCGACGAUCCCUAGCUGGGCUGAGAGGAUGACCAGCAAGACUGGAAGAGAGAGAGGGUCCAGACGCGGACGGGAGGCAGCGGUGGGGAAGAUAGGACAAUGGGCGCAAGCCUGGUGCAGCCGUGCAGCGUAGAAGAAGAGGGCCUUCGGGUUGUAAAGUAGUUUCAGCGGGGGGGCGUUGCCCGCAGGAGAAGCACCGGCUGACUCCGUGCGAGCAGCCGCGGUAAUAC
rnacentral:rRNA from 1 species